GACGUAGGGGGCCAGCGUUGUUCGGAAUUACUGGGUGUAAAGGGUUCGUAGGCGGUGCGGCAAGUCGGGAGUGAAAUCUCUGGGCUUAACCCAGAGGCUGCUUCCGAAACUGCUGUGCUUGAGUGUGGUAGGGGGAGACUGGAAUUCCUGGUGUAGCGGUGAAAUGCGCAGAUAUCAGGAGGAACACCGAUGGCGAGGGCAGGUCUCUGGGCCAUAACUGACGCUGAGAAGCGAAAGCAUGGGGAGCGAACAGG
rnacentral:rRNA from 1 species